UGGGUGAUUAUGCGAUGAAAUGACUGUAUGCACAAAGCCAUCAUUGAGAAGACUUGAAAAUGAUUCAGUGUAUCUCUGACAGAGGAGUUUUGGAUCCAAAAGGUUAGUUGGGGGGAAAAAAACAUAGAUAGGAUGGCCCACACCACAGAAUAGUUGCUAUUCACAUUUAAGAACAUUUGAAAUUCUAAAGAAUGCUUCCUCUAGUUUUAGUUAACCAGUUUAAUUCAUUUUCAUAUAUUUUGCUUUCAUGUCAUCACUAAGUCUAUUUAGCCUUGAAGCCCUUGGAUCUGUUGCUGUAAAAUGAGUCCUCAUCAUGGAUGAACUUGUGUAGCGAACGGGACCUACGUCCACUUAGUAGGGGUAAUUAACACUUCCCUGAAAGGCUGGAGAUAAAAGGAUCUGAGUCCCUAACCCCCAGGCCUACUAGUCUCAAGCCUAACCUGCUCUAAGUAAAACGAAUAUAAUAGUUUAGGCUUCAGGAUUUGUACAUGUCACGGUGAUAACCUAAAGGACAGAAUACAAGCAUAAGUGUCUGUAUGUGCAACUUACCCUGUGUUUCCCCUAACAACCAUACUCUACUGGCAGAGGAUGAGACGCCCCUACUUCAGAGAUGAUCCAAGAACUUCACCGUAUAAGCAAUAGUUAAACAGUUGAAAAUGAGUGGUUAUUUAUUAUACUAAAUCAAUUGAAAUAUUAAAACAAAUACAAGGUACAUGGAAAUAUUGCUGGUUACUCAAAACCACCCUUCAAAGUUCACCCUUCACAGUAGUAGUUCAAACAUGUUACCACUAAUGUUGGCCAACAUACUAAACCUGAGCGUUCAGAUAGGAUAUCAUAUUAAUCUAAAUAAACUUGAAUUAACCCCUUUCAUUCACAGUUGCAAUAUAUUGAAAAGAACUUAUAUAGAAUUUAAACAAUGUAACUUCACAACAAAUUAACAGCAGUCACUAAAUACAUAGACAAAUAAUGUCACUGGCCAGUGUCCUCUCACCAAUAGUUGCUUUAAACAAAAUGGCUUCAGUUUACACAAUCAUAUAAAUAUUAGGUUCCAAGUGGAAGUGUCCUUUGAACAGUCCUAUGAUUCAGUCCAGAGCAAAAUACUCAAUUCUCGUUCAGGAAAAACGGCAAAGUAUCAAAUCAAAUAGGCUAGGCAAAAAUGUCCUGGUCCUAGCAUCAUGUAACAAAGCUCAAAUCAAUUUACAAAAGUUUCCGUCCAGGCAGUUAUCUCUCUCCGUAGCAUUCGCGAGUAACACAAUGGUUUCUCUCCACUAUAGCUUGCUGUUAAAUAACACAAAGUCAGGUUACUUCACCUCAAACCUUCCCUUUAGUUUGCACUCGGUCGCUGGAGCUCUGGAGCAGUCUUUGGAUGGCAGGGAACUGUCGACCUCAGCGGCGGCACGGAUCAAAGGAACAGCGAACACCAACCGCGAUUCUAACUUCUUCCUCUGGCCGGUGCACUGCGCCUCGCUAACUUAUUAACGGCUACACACGCCAAAGGCAAAAAGGCAAUCACUUUGUGUCGCUUAUUUAAAACUAUAAUGUGUAUUAAACUUUAUGGUUCCCUCUUCUAAUUCUGCAGAGUCAGGCAGCUGCACUCACGUUCUCCACGUUCACCGGUCUCAGACUACUUCCUGUUUAGUCUCACCUGCAUUCCAACCUGCUGAUUGGCUAGUGACUACACGUAUAGGACAUUAGUUUAACAGAUAAAGAGGAAAACAAUAUAUGGAUAUCUCGUAUCUGUUACA
ensembl:lncRNA